GGGCGGUCAGCGCUCUGCCGGCCCCCGCUCUGCCGGCCCCCACACCGGGGCUCCGGGAAAUGGUGUUCCUAGGGAAGGGUGCUGCCCCCGCUUCGGGGCGAGGCGGGGUUGUGGAGAGUCAGAGAGCAGCAGCGGGACGGGGCUGCGCUGGCUGAGGCGUGCAAAUUCACCUGCCAGGAGAGGUUUGGGAAGGAGAAAGGCUUUGAGCCCCUGCAAUCACAGCGGGUUUAUCUCAGCCCUUCAGAAAAUCAACAGGAGCGGAGCUGCUCCAGAGCUGUAUGCUCAGCCUCAUUCUGUGCAAGCCCUUUUUCCUACAGGAUCACUUUUAAUUUCUCAGAAGUGUCUGCAGCUCAUCCUGCUCCGGCAAAAUUCAUGCUGGCCUUGGAGACAUUGCUGAAAAUAUUUAGCUCCCUGAAGAGCUGGGCUUCAAAUCUUCAAACAAGGAAGCCAGGUACAGCUCCUCCGAAGUGUGGCUUUCUCAAACAUGUAGAAACCAGAGGCAUCCAACCCUCACCUUCCUUGGCUGUCCAUGAAAAAUCGAGAGAGACACAAAGACUUUCUGAAAUUAAUGAUGAACACAGGAGCCUUGUCUCGAGUGCUUCUCCUCACCCAUCCACCAAGAGUGUCCCUCCUGGCAGAAGGAAAAUGUGAUUGAUUUGCUUUGAUUUUUGCUUAGGGUGUUUGCGAACAUGGAUUUAUGGCCUUUUAAUGGUGCAGCCACUUGCAAGUUAGAUGGGUUGUUUUGGUUGCUGGUUUUGGUGCCUCUAGACUGAACUGCAUUGUAGGGGUCUGUCAGUCCCUUUUAUUUUAAGUGUAGGGAUAUUUCUGCCCCUUUCUUCCCAUUCCCAAGGCUUGCAAAAGAGCUGGGAGAGACAUCCAACCUGUUCCCUACUGCAGAGAGGAUUUCACGGCUAAAAAAUAAAGUUUAGUGUAUUAAAUA